rnacentral:rRNA from 1 species
CAGCCGUAAACUGUGCGCGUUAGGUGUAUCGGUGACCACGAGUUACCGAGGUGCCGAAGGGAAACCGUGAAACGUGCCGCCUGGGAAGUACGGUCGCAAGGCUGAAACUUAAAGGAAUUGGCGGGGGAGCACCACAACAGGUGGAGCCUGCGGUUUAAUUGGACUCAACGCCGGGAAGCUCACCGGAUAGGACAGCAGAAUGAUUGCCGGGCUGAAGACCCUGCAUGACUAGCUGAGAGGAGGUGCAUGGCGUAGACGUCU